rnacentral:rRNA from 1 species
AUUGAACGCUGGAGGCAGGCCUAACACAUGCAAGUCGAACGAGUGGCGGACGGGUGAGUAAUGUCUGGGAAACUGCCCGAUGGAGGGGGAUAACUACUGGAAACGGUAGCUAAUACCGCAUACCAUCGGAUUUGCCCAGAUGGGAUUAGCUUGUAGGUGAGGUAACGGCUCACCUAGGCGACGAUCCCUAGCUGGUCUGAGAGGAUGACCAGCCAAACUGGAACUGAGACACGGUCCAGACUCCGACGGGAGGCAGCAGUGGGGAAUAUUGCACAAUGGGCGCAAGCCUGAUGAAGCCAUGCCGAGUGUAUGAAGAAGGACUUCGGGUUGUAAAGUACUUUCAGCGGGGAGGCGGGAACCGCAGAAGAAGCACCGGCUAACUCCGGGCCAGACGCCGCGGUAAUGC